GGGGAUGUAUUGGCAUUCGACAGGGUGACUAAAGGUUUCGUCUGUUUUAAUCAGGGAGGGGUGUGGUACUUCCUUAAGCACUUCCACGCAAACUAAGUGCUAACUUAGAAAAACUUGCUCAGAAAUUGGCUCUAAGAGAAUUUUCUCUUGUUCCAGUUCUAGCGUAAUCGUUUGAUUUAAUUCGAACGUCGUCUAUCACUUCUGACUUCCUCUAGGUCGUGAAGGCGUAAUAAAGAGGGAUAAGGUGUUAAUGUGCGUUUCGCAUUAAUACACGAAAACCUUGAAACUAAGCGCUAAAGUAUUUUGACUGUUUUCUUUUUUGGCGACGAAAACCCAAAACAGAAUAUGAUUAUAAACGCAGGGUCUCCUCACUCCUGGACCCGGGUUCGACUCCCGGCAUCUCCACCA
rnacentral:tmRNA from 1 species